rnacentral:rRNA from 1 species
AUUAGCGGAUGACCUGUGGCUGGGGGUGAAAGGCCAAUCAAACCGGGAGAUAGCUGGUUCUCCCCGAAAGCUAUUUAGGUAGCGCCUCGUGAAUUCAUCUCCGGGGGUAGAGCACUGUUUCGGCUAGGGGGCCAUCCCGGCUUACCAACCCGAUGCAAACUGCGAAUACCGGAGAAUGUUAUCACGGGAGACACACGGCGGGUGCUAACGUCCGUCGUGAAGAGGGAAACAACCCAGACCGCCAGCUAAGGUCCCAAAGUCAUGGUUAAGUGGGAAACGAUGUGGGAAGGCCCAGACAGCCAGGAUGUUGGCUUAGAAGCAGCCAUCAUUUAAAGAAAGCGUAAUAGCUCACUGGUCGAGUCGGCCUGCGCGGAAGAUGUAACGGGGCUAAACCAUGCACCGAAGCUGCGGCAGCGACGCUGAUGCGUUGUUGGGUAGGGGAGCGUUCUGUAAGCCUGCGAAGGUGGCCUGUGAGGGUUGCUGGAGGUAUCAGAAGUGCGAAUGCUGACAUAAGUAACGAUAAAGCGGGUGAAAAGCCCGCUCGCCGGAAGACCAAGGGUUCCUGUCCAACGUUAAUCGGGGCAGGGUGAGUCGACCCCUAAGGCGAGGCCGAAAGGCGUAGUCGAUGGGAAACGGGUUAAUAUUCCCGUACUUGGUGUUACUGCGAAGGGGGGACGGAGAAGGCUAUGUUGGCCGGGCGACGGUUGUCCCGGUUUAAGCGUGUAGGUGUGUGUUCCAGGUAAAUCCGGUUCACUUUAACACUGAGGCGUGAUGACGAGGCACUACGGUGCUGAAGCAACAAAUGCCCUGCUUCCAGGAAAAGCCUCUAAGCAUCAGGUAACAUCAAAUCGUACCCCAAACCGACACAGGUGGUCAGGUAGAGAAUACCAAGGCGCUUGAGAGAACUCGGGUGAAGGAACUAGGCAAAAUGGUGCCGUAACUUCGGGAGAAGGCACGCUGACACGUAGGUGAAGUGAUUUACUCAUGGAGCUGAAGUCAGUCGAAGAUACCAGCUGGCUGCAACUGUUUAUUAAAAACACAGCACUGUGCAAACACGAAAGUGGACGUAUACGGUGUGACGCCUGCCCGGUGCCGGAAGGUUAAUUGAUGGGGUCAGCGCAAGCGAAGCUCCUGAUCGAAGCCCCGGUAAACGGCGGCCGUAACUAUAACGGUCCUAAGGUAGCGAAAUUCCUUGUCGGGUAAGUUCCGACCUGCACGAAUGGCGUAAUGAUGGCCAGGCUGUCUCCACCCGAGACUCAGUGAAAUUGAACUCGCUGUGAAGAUGCAGUGUACCCGCGGCAAGACGGAAAGACCCCGUGAACCUUUACUAUAGCUUGACACUGAACAUUGAGCCUUGAUGUGUAGGAUAGGUGGGAGGCUUUGAAGUGUGGACGCCAGUCUGCAUGGAGCCGGCCUUGAAAUACCACCCUUUAAUGUUUGAUGUUCUAACGUGGACCCGUGAUCCGGGUUGCGGACAGUGUCUGGUGGGUAGUUUGACUGGGGCGGUCUCCUCCUAAAGAGUAACGGAGGAGCACGAAGGUUGGCUAAUCCUGGUCGGACAUCAGGAGGUUAGUGCAAUGGCAUAAGCCAGCUUGACUGCGAGCGUGACGGCGCGAGCAGGUGCGAAAGCAGGUCAUAGUGAUCCGGUGGUUCUGAAUGGAAGGGCCAUCGCUCAACGGAUAAAAGGUACUCCGGGGAUAACAGGCUGAUACCGCCCAAGAGUUCAUAUCGACGGCGGUGUUUGGCACCUCGAUGUCGGCUCAUCACAUCCUGGGGCUGAAGUAGGUCCCAAGGGUAUGGCUGUUCGCCAUUUAAAGUGGUACGCGAGCUGGGUUUAGAACGUCGUGAGACAGUUCGGUCCCUAUCUGCCGUGGGCGCUGGAGAACUGAGGGGGGCUGCUCCUAGUACGAGAGGACCGGAGUGGACGCAUCACUGGUGUUCGGGUUGUCAUGCCAAUGGCACUGCCCGGUAGCUAAAUGCGGAAGAGAUAAGUGCUGAAAGCAUCUAAGCACGAAACUUGCCCCGAGAUGAGUUCUCCCUGAGACUUAGAGUCUCCUGAAGGAACGUUGAAGACGACGACGUUGAUAGGCCGGGUGUGUAAGCGCAGCGAUGCGUUGAGCUAACCGGUACUAAUGAACCGUGAGGCUUAACCUUACA